rnacentral:rRNA from 1 species
AUGGGGAUCUCGCACCCGCUGUCCGACGAGUUCUACGGAGGGCCCCGCGGAGGAGGUCUGGGCAGCGCGCUGCUGCUGUCGCCGGAGCGGACGCCGCCGCCCGCCUCCUGCUGCUCGCCCGUGGACGACGGCCAGGAGGACUUCCUCCAGCACCAGGUGUCCCGGAUGGACACGCUCGCCGGCAUCGCCAUCAAGUACGGCGUCGAGAUCUCGGACAUUAAGAGGGCAAAUAGUCUUGUGACUGACAGCCAGAUGUAUGCACACAAGGCAUUGCUCAUACCUCUGCCAGGAAGGCCCAUGCCAUCCUCUGUGAAGCUGAACGGCUCCAGCCUACGAUCGAAGAGAGCGUGGGCUCCGAACAAUCAGCAAAACGGGGACAUUGUGAAUUCACUAGAUUCUGAUAAGUCUAGGCAACAGCAGUCGUCACUUGCAAUGAGCAGCUUGCAGAGCUACUAUGGCCUGAGUUCUCAAGGAGGAGAUGACAUGGAUCUGAGUACAGAAAUGUCCUUGUACAGCAAGGGAAGCUCCCAAGGUAUUGGAAGUGAAAUACUCCCAAUUUCUUCUUCUCCGCCUGACAGUACACAAAGCACUGGCAGAGGCAACGGGGCUACCAAAGAGAAGCAAGAUGGUUCCAUACGCCGGCGGCAGAAAGUGGAGGCGGAUACCCAGGACGACCUUCUGUCGGACUCGAUCAAGAUGAUCAAGAGCUUCCUGCCGAGGCCGGUCUCCAGCAUGCGUCUGAAUACGGACGCGGGCAGCCCGGAUCCCGCCGCGAGGAGCAGUGGCGGCUCAUUCCUCGACGGGUUCAAGUCCGUGGUGCGGAGGUCGCCGAGCGCCCCGAGCUUUGCGGACUCGGAGAACAAUGGGGUCUCCAUGUGGUCGAGCUCCAAGUGGACAUUCAACCACGAGUCCUUCACCCGGCCGUUGCUUGACGGCCUCCCGAAACCCGCGACGGGUCGCAGGAUGAAAGCUGCCCUAGACUGA